rnacentral:lncRNA from 1 species
ACUUUAUACAGCUUUCACUUCAUGAUAUAUACAUAGUAGGACAAAUAUGAAACAAAGUUCUUGACUCUGUACCCUGGAAGUCCAACUGACUUUGCACCCACACAUACCCUCCCACACAUAGUCUUCCUCCCCAGACCAUCUCUUUUUUACAAACGCAUUCCUAAAGAAGACAUCUAGAUGGAAUCUGUUUCUCUCAAAAUCCCUCCUACACCUGCCCCCUUCUCUUGCCCUACUCAAGGUCCUUCUCUCUGGAGACCAGCGUCAGAUGUCUGACAGCUCGAAGCAGCAGUUGCCUAUUCUGAGGUGCCAUUGUUUGAAGGAGUAAAAGUGGGGGCAAGUCCAAGGCAGACAGUGAGCCCUAAGCUGAAUGACACAUGGCAAUGGACUCUGUCCCUGGGGAUGGAACUGCCUGGUAGAAGGACCUAUCCAACAGGACAGUCCCUUGUCCCAUCGCUGUAACUCAAGGAGAACAGGGGUCUCUCGGCACACUGGCUUCUCUACUCAGUAGUCUGUGGAACUAGGAUCUCUAGUGGUUCCAGCCAGCAGCACCAAUCCAGACUCUAUUACCCAAAAAAUCUGUUAUCCCAUGGGUAGAAAAAAAGGAGAAAAUGCAAAUUAAAUUAAAAAUAAUUUACACAUCUAUGGUUCUUUUGCCCUCAUCUAAAACUUCCACUUUUACCAUUCUCUUCUUGAUAGCCCACUUAUAUCAUCUUUUCAUCAUCCUUAUGUCCUUGUUUCUUGAACCCAAAGAAAGACCUACAGACUGAAAUGGGAAGCCAGUGAGGAGAAUGCUGGACAGAUAUUUCCAGGCUCCAAAGCUGAAGGAAAAGUGAAAGCCGAGCAGAGGUCUGUUCAGGUCUGCAUGUCCACAGAAAGUGGCUUCCAAGGCUUCAUCUUCACUACUGACAACACCUGCGCUCCAGGCCUCAGCUGCCUGCUCAGCAUCCCCACAGAGUUCCUCCUGCCCCCGCAAAUGCAGCGUGCCUCAGAUUAAACUCAUCACAGACUCCUUCUGUAACAUUUAUCUCUUUAAUGCUGCAACUCUCAUUCCAGAGUUUCAGGCUAGAACCCUCAAUUGCUUUUUCUCUUUUCUUUUUCUUUUUGCACGUAAAGAGUCACCCUAAGCUCACAUCUGUUGCCAAUCCUCCUCCGUUUUUUUUUUCCCCUCCCCAAAGCCCCAGUGCAUGGCUGUAUAUCCUAGUUGUAAGUCCUGCUAGUUCUUCCAUGUGAGCCGCCAUCACAGCACGGUAACUGACAGACAGGUGGUGUGGUUCUGCGAGCGGUAAGUGAACCCAGGCUGCCAAAGUAGUGGGCAUGCCAUCCACUGAGCAUUAACCACUAGGCCAUCAAGGCUGGCUCUCAAUUGUUCUUUUUCAAUCCAUUUUUGUUUUCCUUAACCCUUAUAUUCUGUGUCACCAAUUUCUAUCGAUCCUCCCUUUGAAAUGUCCAUUAGAUUUUCCCCUUUGUAUUGAGGUCCACCAUUGCCAUCUCAACCUAGAUUUUCAUUACUAUAGUCUUCACUAAGUUAUCUUUUUUAAUUUUAACAUUUAUAUCCAAAUCCACUGAGCAAAUCAGUCUGAUCUUUCUACAGCUUCAUUUAAAAAACAGAUGAACAACUUUUGCUUCUCAUUUCUAACACAAGAAAACCCAAAAAUUCAUGACUGACUUCUCAAAAUCUGGUCCCAUCCUAGAUACUGGUCCAAACUUAUGUCCCAAGAUUCCUCAAGACACCCGUGUCGGGCCACUUGCCUCAUGGUUCUUCACAAAAACAACAAAAACAUAUUAAGCACCUACUUUGUGCCCGGCUCAGUGGUUGGCAGUGGACAUAAGGCAGAAUCCAAGACACGCAUGAUCCCUGUCCUCAUGCAUCCUACAAUCUACCUUAGAUUUUCUCCCUUCUCUUAUCUGCCAAUAGUGCUCUGCCACUUAACAUUUAAUCACGUGCCAUCAUAUUACUGACUUAUUCAUGUAUUCAACCCAGGCUUAUUUACUAACUAUGGAAUCUGGGUGGGGUGCUGUGCUAGGCAGGUGGAAGCUUCAAGCUCUGGAAGUUGAAGAUUCUGCUGCCAUUAUAUUCCCAUCGUCUAGCACAGUGCGUAGGUGAGUAGUCCACAACCCUUUCUAAAUAAGUGAAUCACAUAAUAAAAGGUUAGAAACAUUGACCUAUCAGAAUUUAGAGGAGAGAGGAAUCAGAAUGUUGAGGAGUUUGCAGAGGGCUGUGCUUUAGAGGAUGUGUGGGAUGUGCAGACUGAGAGGUGGGAGGAGGGCAUUCUGAGCAAGUGCAACUUCGAGGCGAGGAGGUGAGGCUCACUGCUCCCCCCAACUAUCUGCUCCCCUCUGUUUCCAUAGUAAUGGAGUAUAAACCGCCCAGCUAGCCCUUGAACCAGGAUUGUCCAUACCACUAUGUUCUCAAUGAUAAAAUGGGGGCAGAAAUAAUGUGUACAAUGUCCCCAUCAUCUGCUGUAAUAGUCAGCGUAGGAGCGGUUAUGUUGUGGAAUCAACAACACAAGGUCAUUUCUUGCUCACAGAAAUCUGCUGCAAGCCCAAAGGACUUCUUUGCAUUCACUCAGGAUUCCCGCAUGUUACCACCUUGAAGCGCUCCACAUUGACAUGUGUUUUGUGGUCACAAUGAUGAGGGAAGUGAGAGCUGGAGAGUCUAGCAACAGCAAUGAACACUCCCACGCACAAGUGACUCCUGCCACACUGGCGCCUGUUACUUUGUUCAAAACAAUGGCUGUGCCGAACUACCAAGAGUGAAGAAGCGUAACCCUCUGUGUGCCCACGAACAGAAAAGAACUGGAUAUUAGUGCAUAUUGUUAUCUAUUACACUUACAUAAAACGAAAUUGUGUAUCAAAGACUUAAUCCCUACUUUCUGAAGCUGAAACACAUAUGUGGCAUCGACCAGUGUGUGGCCAUAAAAAUGAGGACAACCCUCUAGGGGAUGGUGGAAGCACAAGAUGAAAGGGACCUGAGUCCCUGAAUGAUUUUGUGGAGCAGAGCCACUGCAUCAGCCCGGAACUCCCACCUCUGACUAUUGCGGUAUUGCGGGAGAAAGAAAGAAACUUCUAUCAGGGUAAGGCCCCUGUGUCUUGAAGUCUCUCUUUCUGUAGCUUAGUCUAUACUCCAACUAAGAGAGGAAAAAUCUAGAGAGACACUGGUCUUGACUGGAGUUAGGGCUUGUGUAAGGGAGCAGUGCUGAAGCCUUAAAAUAGACAAAAGGAAUGUCAAGACACAUCUGGUUGUUUCCAAUCCGAUAAUAAACUUAGAACUAGUAGGAACCAAAACACAGAAAUCAUUUUUUUCCUGGUCUCUUCAAGAUCUAGCAUAUUUCUAUAUCCAAAGGGUGUUCUUUUGUAGAUAGUUGUUGGCUGAUUAAUAAGAGAAGAAGAAACAAAAAUAUGAGAAAUCAAAACUCUAUAUCAAGCUAUACGACAGACACAAGACUCUCUGAAAUAUAGCAGACAGCCCCAAACAGAGAAGGACAUAUACCACCUUGGCACAGAAAACAGUGGUAGAAGGCCAGUUUCCUAAUGGAAAAGGAGGUGAUACUUAGGUGAAAACACCCGCUGAUCCAUCGCUCCUCCAAAUGCACGGCGUGAAGCAGCUUUAUCCUUUGCCAUCACUAGAGAAAAGGAGCGGGACUACAUGGGAGGGGCUUGUAUAUUUUGCUCUUUAAGUUUUAUUUUAUUUAUAUUAUUUCUUUUGUUUUUUGCUUAACUUGGAACAAUAGAGAAGGAUUCAGGAUUCUCAACCAAGAGGUAUAUUUCAUUUGCUUUUUCAUUUAGAGUAAUUUUUCUCUCCAUAGUCAUACUCAAUAAUUUUUUAUACUCCACUUGACUGUGGAAAAGGUUGAGAUGUUGGUCCAGUAGAAACACUACAUUUCAGUAUUACAGAAUAGCCAUAAUAAAGCAGAAUACAGUUCUCUUCUUAGCCACAAUUAACUGAAAUGCACAUCAACCAGAAGAGGGUUAGUACUCUGAUCUCGUAUCCAGAUAAGUGUCAGACUGAAAUGAUAGCUUUUAAGAGCCUGCCUGAAACGAUGUAAAAUAAAACAAAAAAUUAGAGAAUUGACAAAACAGUUUGAGGAAAAGUAAAAAUAAACAUGUUGACGAUAAGAAUGCAUUUAUAACCUGACUAAUUUAUGAUGAGGUAUUUACGUUUAUCUCAUUAAUCUGAUCGUUACCCAAUUUUCCUAUUAAGUUGGCUCUAUAAACAUUGAUUUCAUUAGCCUCAAAACAUGUUCAUAGUGAACUCAUUGUAAAUAUCUUUAACCAAAGGCAGCGUGGGGAGAGCAUGGCUCCGAGUUCUGACGCAGUAGGUCAGGGAGGAGCUGAUCGUAGUAGAGGCAGUUCCGGGAGCCAAGAGGGAAGUUGUGGAGGAACUGGCUGAGGUACGUGCAUGACACGUGGGAAAGCAGAGCUGAAGCUCAGGAAGAUCUGAAUUCUAGCCCGUAACUCUGACAGUGACCAACUGUAGGGCUUUGGUGUUGAGACACAAGAGGACUAAACUCACCCAGUUAUGAACCAACUGUAUUGGCAGAGGAAUCAGAAAAUUAUUUCCUUUUAAACUAUAAAAACUAGAUUUGAGAAGAGAGCUUAAGUGUGCAGACACCACGCCCUGCAAAUGUUGACCCCGGAAUUAGACAAACCUAGCCCGCUCGCCCCAGUCAGAAGCGCCUGUGGGGCAGAGUCCAACCCUGAAAACCUGGGGCAAGCAGGAGCAGGGCAGAACGUGGAUGUCCUGCGACAGAUCCCCAAGUGAAAGAGGGGCUGAGGGAUGAACCCGCAGGCCUCGUUCCUCUCCCAAACUCAGGGUCCUCUAACGCACUCCACCUCCAAGGGGGAAGUAAGGGGCCAGGAGGGUAGAGGGAGCAUUCCUUCGUCAGGGACUUGAGAGGAGUAGAGCAGCGAUCCCUCCCAGGGAGGUCACUUCAGCUUUGUAGACCUCAGAGUUUCCGAUCUGUAAACUGUUAUCUCCAGGAUACCUUUUAGCUCAAAUAGUUAGGAUUUUAAAAUGCCUCUUUCGGGCAGGACUGGUGAAGAGAGGACAGCGCUCCUGGGGGUCACUUAGAAUGGGGACGAUGUUCCUGAGCUAAGUGGAAAUGAACUCGAUGCCACUGCAUGAUUUUAUUCUAUCACAUUUCAACAAAUAUUUAUUGAGUACCUUCUACGUGACAGUGAACAGAGUGUUAGACAAAACAGAUCAGGUCCCCACCUGCCUGCCCAGCGCUUACACUCUAGUGAGGAGAGACAUUAAGUAAACAAGCUCAAGAAUGUGCAGUUGCCAGAUGCAAUAAGGGCUUUAAAGCAAGAAAACCUGGAGGGGAGGGGAGUUGUAGGGAGAGGGAGGGAACAAACUUCCAGGCAGAGGGAACAGCAUGUGCAAAAGCCCAGAGGCUGAAAUGAACCUAGCAUAUUUGAGACAUUAAAAGGAAGACUCUGGCUGGAGUUUAGUGAGUAAUGGGCAUGAGCGAUAAGAGUUGAAUAUAGAGGCAGGGAGGCAUUAUAGAAUAUGCAGGCAGGGCAUUAUAGAAUAUACCCAAAACUUUGGAUUUUAUUACAAGUGAAUGUAAACCCAGUGAAGACUUUUAAAUUAAGGAAAGAUAUGAGCUAAUUUAUGAUGGUAGAAAAUUACUCAGCUAUGUGAGAAUAGAUUUGGGGGCAUGGAGGAUCCAUACCCCCAUGAGGCAAGGUAAGCCAUGUAGACAAAGCCACAGAAGAAAAGGGAAAAUGUGUCCUUUAGUUCUCUGGAAUGCAGCCCCAGAGCUCCUGUGUCACAGUCAUCAGUGAUAAGAGCUCCUGACACUUCAGUGGGUCAUUAGAACCAAUAUGGUUAAAAACUGAUGGCUGCGUGGGAUGAUGUUAACCUGUCAUUUUGUAUAUUAAUGUUAACACUAUUUAGUGCUCAGUUCAGAGGAAAAGAAGUGAAUUUUUAUCCAAUAAUUUCCCAAAUACGAUUUAUUCCAAAUAGAUGUUUACACUGUUCACCAAAAUGGCAUUCCUUAUGCUCCGCCCACUUCCAGCUUUCAGAAAGACACAUCUGCAAUCUGGAUUCUCAGGUCAAAUUUUGUCAGGAAGCUCCACUCCAGUUCAUUUCCCCCAGAACCCAACUGGCUUCUGACCAACUAAUAAGUGAACUAAUUUGUGUUCACGGUGGUGCUGGGCGCAGUGGGGUCUCCGUGGUGAGUUUUCAUCCUGGACGGGGCCUGCUUACGCGAUCAUGAUGACAAUAUCCGUGCCCUCCCUACCAAAAAAUAUUUCCCACGCCUUAGUGUCUGGGCUCCCUAAAAUAUUUGCUUUCUCUGUAUUUUUAUGCAAAGGCUCUUUGACAGGAGGAGAUGUGAGAGCAGUGUGUAUUGGGCAAGUAAAACCAAAUUGGCAGUCUGAAGUGUGCGUGUGCUCAAACAAAGUCCCUUUGUCUUGGUAAAGAAGGGGAAGAAUGGUUAGGGAGAAGAAUGGUUUCAUCUUGCUGGUGUGUUUCAAACCUCCCAUUACUUUUAUAAGCAAUAGCUGGAGGUAAUGCCUUUCACCACAACAGUUGUCCCCAAAUUACUAUCAAGUCAUCAAUGGCAAAAAGUGCCUGUAAAAUACAAAAGCAAAGAAACAAACAAAAAUGAGAGACUGUGUUGACUGCCCCGGGAGCUCUCCCUGAAGGAAGCCCCACUAGUUACCUAACUAGUUACCUCCUAAAAAACAGGUAACUUGAUAAUAGGCCCUAGGGAGCUGUGGGUGGGAGAAUCACCUGUGAUCAUUCAUGGUGUUGGGACCACCCACACGUAACCACCUACUCCAUUCACUCUACUCGUUCAACCAGUACUUACUGAGUGCCUCCUAUGGCCCAGGCCUCCUCAGUCAAGAAAAAAAAAAUUUUUCUGAAAAAGACAGAAAUACAACUCAAAAUAACUUCAGCAAAAAAGGAAUUUAUGAGUUCGUAUAACUCAAAAGUACAGGAUAAAAAAUCUAGCUUCAGGUGACAUUAGAGAAAAAGCUCCAAGGGUUUCUUGUGGGAUCCAGUCUUGGCUCUGUUUCCUUCAAUGCUCACUUCAUUCUCAUGAGUAGCUCUCCUUGGAGGGGAGGCAUCCCCUGGCAGAUCCAGGCUCACCGUAUAGCAACCAAAGUGGAAGUUGAGCUUUCCCUUCUCCACAGUUUGAACAAAAUCCACCCAAAUGACUCUAAUUAGACCACCAUGUGCAGAUCUGAACCAGUCAUUGACUGAUGGGGGCUGGCCAGUGAUUUGUGCUACUUUUACCAGUGGAAUCUGAGUAAUGUUCCAACCUGCAUGAGGCAAAAGGGGCUGAGUUGGGGAUCGGACGCAUACAAAGAGUGGGUAGGGUAAUUCCCUAACGACACUGUAACUGGAAGAAAGUGGGUAGUGAAGCAGUAGCUAUCCACUGAGUAUUUAAACAGCACUGGCCGCUGCACCAGGUGCAGAACAGCCUUGCCCUCACAGUCUGUGCGCGGGAGGAGGAUGGUUCCACCGUACAACACUGGAAGUGCUGUAAUUAGGGUGACCCCGUAUUCUAGUUAGCCAGGACAAGUCAUAGUUUAUGCUGAUGUCCUAGUGUAAUUAUUAGCAAUGCAUCCUCUUACUCUCCAAAGUGCCUUGGUUUGGACAGUACAUCAUAUGGCUACCCUAACAAUAACUGAUAUAUGUUCAAAUGCACAUAGAAGGAAAGGAGAGGGAACGACUAACUGAAAGAGGUGAACGGUGUUGACUGGAAAGGCUUCAUGAAGAAGGCGAGAGUUUACCUGAAUAUUGAAGGAUGUGUUGAAAUGUUCCAAGUGACUGAAGAAGCCAAGAGCGUCCAAGCAUCAGGACAGUAUGAGCAGUCAGUUGGUGUACAGGAAUUGCCCUCACACUUUUGUGAUCCAACAGGCACAAAAGUGUGCAGAGGAAAGGGAUGGGCAAAGGGCGGGAAAGUGGGCUGGGUGAGCAGCUCUAAUCCAAAGAUGAAAUGCCACGCUGAAAUGGUUCACCUCACCUACAGAGUCUAGAAGAAAGGCAAAGACUUCCACGGUUUAGAGAAAUUUUAGAAAACAGACAAAACUCUGCCUUUUAUUUCUGGUCCCACGGAAUGCUCUGAAGUAUGUCGAAACUUAGAAGUGAAUUUAGAAGCUUGUUUCACCUCACUAAGAUUCCCAGCACCUGCUGCUGAAGAUGUAACCCAGACUCGAAGAUGAAAAAUGUCCUCUGUCAGGCACAGACAGAUGUUACUGGUUUGGAUCAUAUGUCAUCUGUGACUGAAGUAAUCAUGAACGCGAAAUGAAAAAACAAACAGUUGUGUCGUAUAAUAUGCUUUCUGCUUAUCCUCCUUGUGAGAUGCAUUAUACCAAAAGACAGACAGAAGCAGAUCUAUCACAGGGUGUCAACAGAGCCAAUACAUUUGUCAAAGGAACUGGAAGAAGUGUGAGUCGUAAGCUGUUCCCGUAAAUUGUACCCCAGAUAUGCUGAUUAUUUUGCAUUAUUAGCUUCACACAGCCAAAGGGAAGUUUUGUUCUUUAGUGUUAAAUUAUUAUGUUUGCAGUUUGAGAGGGAAAAGAAAGUGUAAGCUUGCAGUCUUAUUACCUAUGAGAAUAUGGCUUCUUCCAAGUGUAAGGUUUUCUCCUCAUUAUAUCACAAUUCUCCAUCCCCCUGCAGUGCAAUACCCUAAGAUGUCAAAGUGUAUUUCACACAAG